CGGGACAGUCCUCUUUUUUGACCCAUUGUCCUGGAUGCUUUCCAUUUCUAGACAACCGGUCAGGUACGAGCAUGAUUUUUAAUUUCGACCAAACUCAAAUACAUUGUUUGUUGGUCCAAAUAA